rnacentral:rRNA from 1 species
CCUACGGGAGGCAGCAGUGAGGAAUAUUGGUCAAUGGACGAGAGUCUGAACCAGCCAAGUAGCGUGAAGGAUGACUGCCCUAUGGGUUGUAAACUUCUUUUAUACGGGAAUAAAGUGAGGCACGUGUGCCUUUUUGUAUGUACCGUAUGAAUAAGGAUCGGCUAACUCCGUGCCAGCAGCCGCGGUAAUACGGAGGAUCCGAGCGUUAUCCGGAUUUAUUGGGUUUAAAGGGAGCGUAGAUGGGUUGUUAAGUCAGUUGUGAAAGUUUGCGGCUCAACCGUAAAAUUGCAAUUGAUACUGGCAGUCUUGAGUACAGUUGAGGUAGGCGGAAUUCGUGGUGUAGCGGUGAAAUGCUUAGAUAUCACGAAGAACUCCGAUUGCGAAGGCAGCUUACUAACCUGUAACUGACAUUGAUGCUCGAAAG